UGGGGAAUUUUGGACAAUGGGCGAAAGCCUGAUCCAGCAAUGCCGCGUGUGUGAAGAAGGCCUUCGGGUUGUAAAGCACUUUUGUCCGGAAAGAAAUCCUUGGCUCUAAUACAGUCGGGGGAUGACGGUACCGGAAGAAUAAGCACCGGCUAACUACGUGCCAGCAGCCGCGGUAAUACGUAGGGUGCAAGCGUUAAUCGGAAUUACUGGGCGUAAAGCGUGCGCAGGCGGUUUGCUAAGACCGAUGUGAAAUCCCCGGGCUCAACCUGGGAACUGCAUUGGUGACUGGCAGGCUAGAGUAUGGCAGAGGGGGGUAGAAUUCCACGUGUAGCAGUGAAAUGCGUAGAGAUGUGGAGGAAUACCGAUGGCGAAGGCAGCCCCCUGGGCCAAUACUGACGCUCAUGCACGAAAGCGUGGGGAGCAAAACAGGAUUAGAUACCCCUGGGUAGUCCACGCCCUAAAACGAUGUCAACUAGUUGUUGGGGAUUCAUUUCCUUAGUAACGUAGCUAACGCGUGAAGUUGACCGCCUGGGGAGUACGGUCGCAAGAUUAAAACUCAAAGGAAUUGACGGGCUCAUA
rnacentral:rRNA from 1 species